GGGCCGGAUGCGGAAAUUUCCCGAAAUUAUUUAAUUUCCCUAAAAUCACCCAAAGACAACCAGAGUUUCCCGAAUUUCGGGUAAUUUCCUUCAAAGUGGAAACACAGAGCACAGGGAAGCAG